rnacentral:rRNA from 1 species
CAAAACUGACGCUGAUGCGCGAAAGCGUGGGGAGCAAACAGGAUUAGAUACCCUGGUAGUCCACGCCGUAAACGAUGAGUACUAGGUGUUGGGGGUUUCGAUACCUUCGGUGCCGCAGUUAACACAAUAAGUACUCCGCCUGGGGAGUACGGUCGCAAGACUGAAACUCAAAGGAAUUGACGGGGGCCCGCACAAGCGGUGGAGCAUGUGGUUUAAUUCGACGCAACGCGAAGAACCUUACCAAGACUUGACAUCCCGCUGACUGUAGUUGUAAUGACUACUUCCCUUCGGGGCAGCGGUGACAGGUGGUGCAUGGUUGUCGUCAGCUCGUGUCGUGAGAUGUUGGGUUAAGUCCCGCAACGAGCGCAACCCUUAUUUUCAGUUGCCAUCAUUCAGUUGGGCACUCUGGAGAGACUGCCGCAGACAAUGCGGAGGAAGGUGGGGAUGACGUCAAAUCAUCAUGCCCCUUAUGUCUUGGGCUACACACGUGCUACAAUGGUCGGUACAGAGGGCAGCUAAGCAGUGAUGCGGAGCCAAUCCCAAAAAGCCGAUCCCAGUUCGGAUUGCAGGCUGCAACCCGCCUGCAUGAAGUCGGAAUCGCUAGUAAUCGCAGGUCAGCAUACUGCGGUGAAUACGUUCCCGGGCCUUGUACACACCGCCCGUCACACCACGAAAGUUGGUAACACCCGAAGUCGGUGAUCUGACUCUUAUGAGAGGAAGCCGCCCACGGUGGGAUCGAUGAUUGGGGUGAAGUCGUAACAAGGUAGCCGUAUCGGAAGGUGCGGCUGGAUCACCUCCUU